rnacentral:rRNA from 1 species
UACGGAGGGGACUAGCGUUGUUCGGAAUUACUGGGCGUAAAGCGCACGUAGGCGGAUUUGUUAGUCAGGGGUGAAAUCCCGAGGCUCAACCUCGGAACUGCCUUUGAUACUGCAAAUCUCGAGUCCGGAAGAGGUGAGUGGAAUUCCUAGUGUAGAGGUGAAAUUCGUAGAUAUUAGGAAGAACCCCAGUGGCGAAGGCGGCUCACUGGUCCGGUACUGACGCUGAGGUGCGAAAGCGUGGGGAGCAAACAGG